rnacentral:rRNA from 1 species
AUGAACGCUAGCUACAGGCUUAACACAUGCAAGUCGAGGGGAAACGAUGAGAGCGCUUGCUCUCUUAGGCGUCGACCGGCGCACGGGUGAGUAACGCGUAUCCAACCUACCCAUUACAGGGGGAUAACCUUGCGAAAGUAAGACUAAUACCCCAUGGCAUUUUAUGGUGGCAUCAUUAUAGGAUUAAAGAUUUAUUGGUAAUGGAUGGGGAUGCGUCUGAUUAGCUUGUUGGCGGGGUAACGGCCCACCAAGGCAACGAUCAGUAGGGGUUCUGAGAGGAAGGUCCCCCACAUUGGAACUGAGACACGGUCCAAACUCCUACGGGAGGCAGCAGUGAGGAAUAUUGGUCAAUGGGCGAGAGCUUGAACCAGCCAAGUAGCGUGCAGGAUGACGGCCCUAUGGGUUGUAAACUGCUUUUAUAGGGGAAUAAAGUGAGCUACGUGUAGUUUAUUGCAUGUACCCUAUGAAUAAGGACCGGCUAAUUCCGUG